UAGGGAAUAUUGGACAAUGGGGGCAACCCUGAUCCAGCCAUGCCGCGUGAGUGAAGAAGGCCCUCGGGUUGUAAAGCUCUUUUGUCCGGAAAGAAAAGCUUCGGGUUAAUACCCCGGGGUUCUGUCGGUAACGGAAGAAUAAGCACCGGCUAACUUCGUGCCAGCAGCCGCGGUAAUACGAAGGGUGCAAGCGUUACUCGGCAUUACUGGGCGUAAAGCGUGCGUAGGUGGUUGUUUAAGUCUGAUGUGAAAGCCCUGGGCUCAACCUGGGAAUGGCAUUGGAAACUGGGCAGCUAGAGUGCGGUAGAGGGGAGUGGAAUUCCCGGUGUAGCAGUGAAAUGCGUAGAGAUCGGGAGGAACAUCUGUGGCGAAGGCGACUGCCUGGACCAGCACUGACACUGAGGCACGAAAGCGUGGGGAGCAAACA
rnacentral:rRNA from 1 species